GAUGGCCUCGGAGGCUCCCAGUCCCGUACCCCCGGGUCGCCACGGACCCGCUCAGUACCUGUUGGAACCCGUAAAAAGAACGUCCCCUUCGCAGGGUGUAUUUGGAGCGAGGGCCCACAGCAGCAAACCCAGGAGAACACCACCCACACGGAAGGAUUUUCUGAGGAUUGGAUUGAGUCAGGUGAUAACUGCAAACCAAGCAAAGGACUGAAGUAGAAGUGGGAGCCCAUUUGUUGCAGUAGUCCAGGCUCUUCCUGGGAUCACUGCCUGGGGACCGCUCCUGAAGCACCCAACCUAAGACAGGCACUUACGCUGCAGUGUAAGCCUCUCAUCCUCAGCAGACAUAAGCAACUUAAGGGAAGAGACUGCGUCUACUUCAUCUUUGUAUCCUCAGUGUUUUGUGUCAUGCCUGGAACAUAAGUGCUCAGUAAAUAUUUGUUGAAUGAAUGGAUGAGUCAAGCACUGGGCCAAAGGAUGAUAUUAGAAAUAAUAACUGAACACUUACUGAACUCUUCUAUAAGCGUCCCUCACUCUUCUCAGUGUUAACCCAGGACCAAGGAAUUCUGUCUCAGAGAUUAGAAGACAAACAAAGACUUGUAAUAACUGAACUUUCCAGAUGUGGUCCAAACGCGCUUGCACACCACUGCAGUUAGCUGGCAUCCCCUGCGGACGGCUCCCGACAGCCUUGCGUGUCUCUUGCAACCCUAGCUUCAGGAAAUUCAUCACCUCAGGCAGGACAACCGCUUCUGCUGUAUAUAACAGCAAAUGUUCAUUUUCCUCAUGCCAACUCCU